GGAACCAGUGGUGAUGACUGGUGGGGGAUGAGUUGUGGACAAUGUACAGUAUGUAUCUGGAACCCUGAGGUGCAA
ensembl:snoRNA small nucleolar RNA SNORD113/SNORD114 family